UUUUGAACAGCGCUGAAUUCCCUUUUGGGAAGCGGGGGAACCAAUUUUGGGGUGAGACGUUUAUCGUGGGGUGCCCUUUCUACCCUAACCCGACAGCUAACCUCGUAAGCGUAUUGAGAGGAGCC
rnacentral:sRNA from 2 species